CCUACGGGUGGCAGCAGUGGGGAAUAUUGCACAAUGGGGGAAACCCUGAUGCAGCGACGCCGCGUGAGCGAUGAAGGAUUUCUGUAUGUAAAGCUCUAUCAGCAGGGAAGAAAAAGACGGUACCUGACUAAGAAGCCACGGCCAACUUCGUGCCAGCAGCCGCGGUUAUCAGUAGGGGGCCAGCGUUAUCCGGAUUUACUGGGUGUAAAGGGAGCGUAGACGGCGAUGCAAGCCAGAUGUGAAAGCCCGGGGCUCAACCCCGGGACUGCAUUUGGAACUGUAUAGCUGGAGUGUCGGAGAGGCAGGCGGAAUUCCUAGUGUAGCGGUGAAAUGCGUAGAUAUUAGGAGGAACACCAGUGGCGAAGGCGGCCUGCUGGACGAUGACUGACGUUGAGGCUCGAAAGCGUGGGGAGCAAACAGGAUUAGAUACCCGAGUAGUC
rnacentral:rRNA from 1 species